CAGAACCUCAAACAUGUGAAGCAAAUGCACCAGGGCUAAACUCUGUCCCCACCAUUUUAUUCAUUGUGUGUGGUUAUUUUUUUUUUUCUUUUUCAGAACGGGGGAUUGAACUCAGGGGCCCUCGACCACUGAGCCACAUCCCCAGCUCUUUUUUUUUUUUUUGUAUUUUAUUUAGAGAUGGGGUCUCACUGAGUUGCUUAGCACCUCACUUUUGCAGAGGCUGGCUUUACAUUCAAAAUCCUCCUGCCUCAGCCUCCCAAGCUGCUGGGAUUUCAUGCGUGCACCACCGCACCUGGAAUGUUAUUCAUUCUUAAUCAACAUUUAUCUCAACCCUGGCAAGGACUUGGUUUUCUUUGAACUAGCUCAACAUUAAUAUCUACUUCUGAUCUUAUAUCUGGCACCUGCUUCUUUGAGGCCAGACCUAAAAAUUCUUACAAAUUCCAUUCUGUUUUGCUAUUUUGGUUAUUGUUAGAGAAUGAGUUCUUGAUACAAUUAACACCAACAUUUAUUGAUGAACUAAUAAGAGCUUCAGAGAUUUAGAAAAAAAAAAUAGACCUCAGUCUGUUUGUUUAUAAUAAGUAACAGAGUUCUAACAAAAUUCUACUGAGGACAAUUUAUUACUCCCGAUAAUGAUCAUUCUGUGGCCUCAAGCCUUAUUGGUAAGCAAUAUGUUAAGAAGAAGUGGCUUUUAAGCUAACACCCUUCCUCUUACCAUGGAAAUUGAGGAAAAAGAAAAAGGUAUCCAAUAUCCUUAGCCUGAAUUAAAUGAAGCUAAACUGUGCACCUUGUUAUUGUGGUAAAAUAUACAUUAGCACAAACUUUUCCCACUUUAGCUGAUUUUGAUUUUAAGUCUCCAGUUCUGCUGCACUGAGUCCAUCCACCCUGCUGUGCAGCUGUCUCCUCCACCCAGAGGAGAACUGUUUCAUCUUCCUAAACUCCUCUGUUAAUUCAGAGGAGUAUCCACUGAACACUAGCUGCCCCUUCUCCCCUCACCCACCCCCUGGCAACCAUCUACACUAUAUUUUCAAUAAAAAAUCAAUUUCUUCUCCCGUCUGAUAAUCCUUCCUCAGUCCACACCCUGACUGGGUGCUCCACCAGCCUGGUACAAGUACUGUGCAGAGGGUGCCAACACUCUCCCUUUAGGGCCUGAUUUCAGAGCUCAAGGACUAUGUUUUAAAAAUUACAGAUAUUUGACUAUUCAAAAAAGUUAAGCAAACAAAAUUUAAAUCUUCUAAAAGAAGCACUGAUAUGUACUAAGAAGUAGAAAAUAUGUCUUAUAUUAUAUUAUAUUAUAUUACUUAAAAUAGGGGCUAGGGGUAUAGCUCAGUUGGUAGAGUGCUUGUCUCACCAGCACAAGGCCCUGGGUUCAAUCUUACUUAAAAUAAUUAAUAAUAGUUUUAUCAAUAAUUGAUCAUUAAAUCAAUUAUUAAUAAUCAAUUAUUAUUAUAAUAAUCAAUAAUAAUUUAUUCCCAAGAAUCAACAGGCCAUGAAUGGCAAAAGCCACCUAGGUCCCUGAACACAUCCUCCAUAGGUAGAUUCUCCACUGCAUAUAUUUUUUAAGUGUUCAGUGUCUCUUGGAAAUCUCACUUGAUCAGUCGUCACAGAAGAAUGAAUUUAUUGGAUUAAACAAUGUCAAGGCAAUGCAAACUACUGAGUAAUUGAACAAAAAUAAAAUGGAUUAUAUGUGAUUUCUUGAUCCCUAGACUUCACACAAUUUAAAGGAAUAAUGAGAGGACAUUCUCAGUAUUUCACUGCAUGACAAAACCGUUCUACUUUUAUUUAUUUCAUUAAUUAAACAUGGGCAAUGUGUUUUUAAAGCUACUUGUGUCUUUCAUGUGCUUGAAAGCUUGUUCAAGUGCUUUUGGAGGCUCUGUUUCUGUAGUUGGUGUGAAGAUUGCAGCAACCCUAGGAAUUGGCUGUGUGUCCCAACAGAGGAACAUACCCAGAAGCUUUCUUCUCAUCAAAGCUGUUUCCAGGUCCUCCUGCUGUCACUGAACAUCAGGAAGUAGCUGGUCACCCAGUGAGAGCUCCCAUAUCCUCCCUGGGUGGCCACAGCUGUGACCUUCACUCUCUCUCCAAGUUCAAUCUGCAGCCACUGGUAUUUGUUUGAUACAGUGGAGUCCAGCCACCAGCUCCUGUUCCUGGAAAUGGAAACAAACAAAAAAAAUGGAAUAUUUUAAAUCAGCUGUUUUGCCCUAUUGCACCCCUGAAAGCAAGAUGGCUCCCUAGCAGUUCUACUAGAGGCACUGGGAAAAUUCAACCACUGUUCUUACUCUCAUAGUGAUCUAUCUGGAAAUAAUGGCUUCAAGUGUGGCACCACUGUUUCCAUCAGUACCCAAAAAAUAUAUAGGCUUCAUUAAGUUGGACUAAGUGAUCUUCCUUGAAUGGAUUAUCCCUGGACAUCCACCCAGUGAAAGAAUAUAUACUAGCUUUUUA
rnacentral:lncRNA from 1 species